rnacentral:lncRNA from 1 species
CAAAAACAUAUAUUUUUCAUGUUUUGACAACUGAUGUAUGUAAUAAUGUUUAAACAUUUUGAUUGACAUGCGAAUGAAUAAUAUAUACCAUAUACGUCUUGCUUAUGUGUAAUUUUGAUAUUACAACAAAUGCAUAAAAUAAUGCAAUAAUCCUUAUGGAAACGAUAUAUGCCAAUGCUUAGGCUCCGUCAACGCAAGACGAAAAACCAUAUAAUAGGAUUUUGAAUUAUUUGAAUAUUGGUACGUAUUAUUAGUAUAAAGAAUGGAAAUGUGGAAUGUGUCCGAGAGAUAACAACCCGAAAUCUACAAAAUUCAACUCAAGCAUAGGUAAACUCUUUAGAGUACCAGUUAGGAUUUGGUACAGAAAUAUGUUGGUCAUUUCUUAUUGUGAAAGUAAUGUAUUUUAAAUGUAACUUGUAAUAUAGUUAUUAUUAGGC